rnacentral:rRNA from 1 species
AAUCCCGGAUGAGCCGUAAGGUAAAAGAUUUAUUGCCUAGAGAAGAGCUCGCGUCCGAUUAGUUAGUUGGUGGGGUAAGAGCCUACCAAGACAGCGAUCGGUAACUGGUCUGAGAGGAUGACCAGUCACACUGGGACUGAGACACGGCCCAGACUCCUACGGGAGGCAGCAGUGGGGAAUUUUCCGCAAUGGGCGAAAGCCUGACGGAGCAAUACCGCGUGCGGGAGGAAGGCCCUUGGGUCGUAAACCGCUUUUAUCAGGGAAGAAGCUCUGACGGUACCUGAUGAAAAAGCCUCGGCUAACUCCGUGCCAGCAGCCGCGGUAAUACGGAGGAGGCAAGCGUUAUCCGGAAUUAUUGGGCGUAAAGCGUCCGCAGGUGGAAUUGUAAGUCUGCUGUCAAAGACGGAAGCUCAACUUCCGAUAGGCAGUGGAAACUGCAAAACUAGAGUACAGUAGGGGUAGAGGGAAUUCCCAGUGUAGCGGUGAAAUGCGUAGAGAUUGGGAAGAACACCGGUGGCGAAAGCGCUCUACUGGGCUG